GCACCCGUAGCUCAGCUGGAUAGAGCGCUGCCCUCCGAAGGCAGAGGUCACAAGUUCGAAUCUUGUCGGGUGCGCCA
rnacentral:tRNA from 128 species